GGACUGAGGGGAGAACAAGGAAUUAACAAAUGUGGUGUGCAGUGCCGCCAUUGGCUGUCUGGUGAUAGCAUGCCGUACAUGCUGUUAUUAGAAGCCAUGUAAGUUAUGCAACAAAACUUACUAUAGGAAUAUAGAAGUAUGUGUAUACAUGUAUUCUUAUUCUAGUAAUAACCUCGAAAACUGAGUGUAAAUUCAGAGUCCACACUGCUUGCUUUCGGC